UACGAAGGGGGCUAGCGUUGCUCGGAAUCACUGGGCGUAAAGCGCACGUAGGCGGCUUUCUAAGUCAGGGGUGAAAUCCUGGAGCUCAACUCCAGAACUGCCUUUGAUACUGGAAAGCUUGAGUCCGGGAGAGGUGAGUGGAACUGCGAGUGUAGAGGUGAAAUUCGUAGAUAUUCGCAAGAACACCAGUGGCGAAGGCGGCUCACUGGGACGGUACUGACGCUGAGACGCGAAAGCGUGGGGAGCGAACAGG
rnacentral:rRNA from 1 species